GACGAACGCUGGCGGCGUGCCUAACACAUGCAAGUCGAACGGGGUGACAUCCUUCGGGAGAUCACUUAGUGGCGAACGGGUGAGUAACGCGUGAGAAACCUGCCUUUCAGUGGGGGACAACAGUUGGAAACGACUGCUAAUACCGCAUAAUGUAUUUUGGGGGCAUCCCUGAAAUACCAAAGCUUUAUGUGCUGAAAGAUGGUCUCGCGUCUGAUUAGCUAGAUGGCGGGGUAACGGCCCACCAUGGCGACGAUCAGUAGCCGGUCUGAGAGGAUGAACGGCCACAUUGGGACUGAGAUACGGCCCAGACUCCUACGGGAGGCAGCAGUGGGGAAUAUUGGGCAAUGGGGGAAACCCUGACCCAGCAACGCCGCGUGAAGGAAGAAGGCCUUCGGGUUGUAAACUUCUUUUAGCAGGGACGAAUACGUGACGGUACCUGAGAAAAAGCAACGGCUAACUACGUGCCAGCCGCCGCAGUAAGAC
rnacentral:rRNA from 1 species